ACUAUUGUAUAGUACUCAGACGACACUUAAUCAUUCAGGGUUUGGGCUCCACUGGCGGGCACUCCCCCGCCGAAGCCGGGGCGUGGCUGGGCCUCGGGCCCGCCAAAGCAACAAAUCAUGGUAUUCAAGGGUGGGGAUUCCAGCCCCUCGCGGGGCACAGAAGACACUUUAAUGAUCCUUCCGCAGGUUCACCUACGGAAACCUUGUUACGACUUUUACUUCCUCUAAAUGACCAAGA
rnacentral:misc_RNA from 1 species